GUUCACCAAAAAUUACAAAUCUUUUUUUUUUUUGAACACCAAAGAUACAUAUUGAUGAAAUAUAUUAAUAAAUGUCUCAAUGUUUUUGACUCCAGUGUUCUCUUUUAGUUCUGCAAAAGGAAUAAUCUCAUACAGGGCUACAGCUGCAUUGCUUUUGGGCUGAUUGGAUUUCUUCAUGAGUGGCCCAUGUCAUGCUUUCUCAGUCGAGGAUGAACUGGGCCCCUGGUUCCCUGGGAUCAGCCGUCUGGAUGCACAGUCAGUUCUGCAGGUGUAAAAUCCCAAAGGAGACAUGUGCACAUAAAACAGCAUGAACAUUGUGGUUAAUGAUGAAACUAGACUGCCAGGUGCCGUCUGGGUGGGCUUGUUGCCAUGGUGAGGAAUCUGGUGAAUGCAUUUGAGAAAGGUAGAAGGGGGAAAAGGACACAGAAGAUGUAGGAAGAUUCUGACAGGAGCAAACAUAACAGCGGAUCACUGCUGCUUAAUGUGGAAUUGAGCCAGAGUUUGUGUGUGUGUGAAAUGUAAGGUCAUUUCACGGUCUAAAAAAGAUGUGUCGUGUGGGUGUCAUUUAGCCUUGUUUUAUUAGUGUUUCUGGGGUCAACCUUUUUGUUUUUAAGUCAGUUUGAGUAAAUAUUGCAAAUGCAGUAUCUAUUUAAAAAAAAUAAAAAAUUCCCCAGCAAUUCUGUGAGUGUUUUGUGACAUUUAUAUUUUGCUACAUUUGUUCACUGAAAGGUUAUCUGGGAAACUCAAAAUGGUUCUUCAAUGGCAUUGGUGUGAAAACUCCAUUUUGGAACCUUUAUUUUUAAGAGUGUUUUUAAGAUCAGUAACUUUGUUGUAGUAUUUGUCAUGAUGGAAGCAUCUGUUAUGUAAAUGAAUACAUGUAAAGAUUGUCACACUUUGUUCAGAUAAUCAAAGCCUGUGUGUUUACAAGGCACAUAGGUCCCACCCAGACAAACACAUUCACAGUGUGACAGACAAUAAGUCAAUGAGAUUGUUAAUGACUUGCCAUACACAUCACAUGAAUUAAUAUAUUUUCUUAAAGUGUCAUUAUAUGUAAGUGUCAUUAAGUAUUCUGCAUCAAGUACAAACAUGCAGGUUAUUCCGUAAAUGCUUCCUGUGUGUGUGUAAGCCAGGUGUAAACUUGGGCUCAUCUGUGUUUCUGUGGAUCACACAGACACAUUCUGACGGGAGAGUCAGACAAAAUUAAUGCAGUGGCAUUGGAGGCCAGUGUGCAUCCAGACUCAAUGUAUUAUCAUUACCUGAAGAAAGAGAGAGGAGAAAAAGUUGAUGAUUUUGAGCCUAUCUGUGUUAAUCAGUACAUGCCCUAUUAGGCUGCAAGACUCCAAAAUAUCCAAAAUAACAGAGCACCAUUAAAACCAAUGAAGGUAUACAGUAGUUGGGAAGACUGGGACUACAAGUAUAACCAAAAAAAAUAAAAUAAAUAAAAUCCCUUGUUAAUUUGAUAGGUAGAUAAUCAAAGAAUUGUCAGAUUGGGUCAAGUUGUCACAUGUCAUCAUAAUGUGUUGUCAAAAAAUUGGUUUGAUAUUUUGUAUGUUACAU
ensembl:lncRNA